CUUCCCUCGCCUCCCCUCCCCACCGACCCAAAAGCAACCCCCCCCCCUUGUCGACUCCUGCUGAAUCUUGUCCUCCAAGCCCAAUGAUGGGGGCACUCGUGGCGGAUGCUUCGAUGAGUGGGGCUGCGAUUUGUUUCAUGUUCGCGGGAUACGCAGCUACUUUCUUGCUGUUCUAUUCUCACUUCUGCAAGGUGAAGAAGAUGAAUGAGGACGGGGAGGUUGGGGAGACCAAAAUCGUCCCGUUCUAUUUCGUGCUUUUCAGCUGCCUCAUCUGGAUAGCGUACGCCGUGGUUGAUAUCAAGGCCGAUUGGGCUGUAUUCAUCUUAAACGUAUCAGUUUUGCUAACUCACAUCUAGAUAAAAAUUAACUAUAUCACAUCUAACCUCUCCACCACAUGAUCUGAAGGCUCUAAGAUUCGAACUGCCAUCUGUUGUAUUUGCACGGCUGUGGUUUUGUUUGUGUGUGGGCUGUGUGUAUGCUGCUCUAUGCUACUGUCGGCCUGUUCCUGUUGCACGGUGCCGUUGUCAGUGGCGGAGGCAGGAAUGCAUAUAAUUGGACGUUGGGGGGGGGCAGCUGCAGGUAACAGUA